rnacentral:rRNA from 1 species
AUUGAACGCUGGCGGCAGGCCUAACACAUGCAAGUCGAACGAGUGGCGGACGGUUGAGUAAGGUCUGGGAAACUGCCCGAUGGAGGGGGAUAACUACUGGAAACGGUAUCUAAUACCGCAUACCAUCGGAUGUGCCGAGAUGGUAUUAGCUUGUAGGUGAGGUAACGGCUCACCUAGGCGACGAUCCCUAGCUGAUCUGAGCGGAUGAACAGCCACACGGGGACUGAGACACGGCCCAGACUCCUACGGGAGGCAGGAGGAGUGAAUAUUCGACAAUGGGCGAAAGUCUGAUGCAGCCACGCCGCGUGUAUGAAGAAGGUCUUCGGGUUGUAAAGUUCUUUCGGCGGUGAGGCGUUACCCGAAGAAGAAGCACCUGCUAACUCCGUGCCAGCAGCCGCGGUAAUUC